rnacentral:rRNA from 1 species
UACAGAGGUCCCAAGCGUUACUGAGAAUCACUGGGUUUAAAGGGUGCGUAGGUGGUCCGUUAAGUUCGUUGUGAAAUCCCUGGGCUCAACCCAGGAACGGCUUCGAAUACUGGCGGACUUGAGGCCGGUAGGGGUCACUGGAACUGACGGUGGAGCGGUGAAAUGCGUAGAUAUCGUCAGGAACGCCGAUGGUGAAGACAGGUGACUGGGCCGGUUCUGACACUGAGGCACGAAAGCGUGGGGAG